rnacentral:lncRNA from 10 species
GUACUAUUGCGGCCGCCCUCUGCUGCGCCUGAAGAGAGAGGCGACUCUACAAGCCUCACAGCAUGCACUGUUACUAAAAAGACGAUGCGUCCUCCUGGACCUGAGAUCUGUGUGAUCGUGGGAAAGCGACGAAAAACGAACAAAGGAACAGUAAAUGGAGUAACUUGGCUAGAAUAUGGCAGUAACUACAAGGCAUGUUCUGCUCUGGCACGAAGGAUGACUAAAUUUAAAAAGAAGACAGAA